ACUCCUACGGGAGGCAGCAGGUGGGAAUAUUGCACGAAUGGGGGAAGCCCUGAUGCAGCCAUGCCGCGUGUGUGAAGAAGGCCUUCGGGUUGUAAAGCACUUUCAGUUGUGAGGAAAGGGAUGUAGUUAAUACCUGCAUUCUGUGACGUUAGCAACAGAAGAAGCACCGGCUAACUCCGUGCCAGCAGCCGCGGUAAUACGGAGGGUGCGAGCGUUAAUCGGAAUUACUGGGCGUAAAGCGUGCGUAGGCGG
rnacentral:rRNA from 1 species